UCGUGUCGUGAGAUGUUGGGUUAAGUCCCGCAACGAGCGCAACCCUGACCUUAGUUGCCAGCAUUCAGUUGGGCACUCUAAGGUGACUGCCGGCUAAAAGUCGGAGGAAGGUGGGGAUGACGUCAAAUCAUCAUGCCCCUUAUGACCUGGGCUACACACGUGCUACAAUGGGCGGUACAAAGGGUCGCGAACCCGCGAGGGGGAGCCAAUCCCAAAAAGCCGCUCUCAGUUCGGAUUGCAGGCUGCAACUCGCCUGCAUGAAGCCGGAAUCGCUAGUAAUCGCGGAUCAGCAUGCCGCGGUGAAUACGUUCCCGGGCCUU
rnacentral:rRNA from 1 species